rnacentral:rRNA from 1 species
GACGAACGCUGGCGGCGUGCCUAAUACAUGCAAGUCGAGCGGACAGAUAAGGAGCUUGCUCCUUUGAAGUCAGCGGCGGACGGGUGAGUAACACGUGGGCAACCUGCCUAUAAGACUGGGAUAACUCCGGGAAACCGGGGCUAAUACCGGAUAGAUUCUUUCCUCUCAUGAGGAAAGAAGGAAAGACGGUUUCGGCUGUCCCUUAUAGAUGGGCCCGCGGCGCAUUAGCUAGUUGGUAAGGUAACGGCUUACCAAGGCGACGAUGCGUAGCCGACCUGAGAGGGUGAUCGGCCACACUGGGACUGAGACACGGCCCAGACUCCUACGGGAGGCAGCAGUAGGGAAUCUUCCGCAAUGGACGAAAGUCUGACGGAGCAACGCCGCGUGAACGAAGAAGGCCUUCGGGUCGUAAAGUUCUGUUGUUAGGGAAGAACAAGUACGAUAGUAACUGAUCGUACCUUGACGGUACCUAACCAGAAAGCCACGGCUAACUACGUGCCAGCCGCCGCCGUAACAC